rnacentral:rRNA from 1 species
UUCUUUCUAUUCCUUAAAGCAUUUAUAUCGCCGUCCAAAGGGAUAAAUGAAAUUUUACUUCGAAAUAACUAUGCAAUCACGUCAGGUCGAAAUAAAGCCUAUGGAGCAGCGAGCCGAGUUACUUAUAUAAAUAAUGUAAGUGUUUUAUCUUUAAAAAAUAAAAUAUUUAGGAUUUGACAGUAAUUUAUUGAUAAUUUCUAUAAAUGAAGAAUCUCAGCAAGAUGUACAUAUCGCCCGUCACCCUCAUCCAAAGAUGAGGUAAGUCGUAACAUAGUUAAUAUACUGGAAAGUGUAUUAAGGG